UCCGAGUUGACCCCGGCAGUCUCCCACGAGUCCCCGGCAUGAUCUGCUGGCAACAUGGGAUAAGGGUUGCGCUCGUUGCGGGACUUAACCCAACAUCUCACGACACGAGCUGACGACAGCCAUGCACCACCUAUCGCAGGCCCUUUCGGACACCACAUCUCUGUGGCUUUUCCUGCGUAGUUCAACCCAGGUAAGGUUCUUCGCGUUGCGUCGAAUUAAACCACACGCUCCGCUGCUUGUGCGGGCCCCCGUCAAUUUCUUUGAGUUUUAAUCUUGCGACCGUACUCCCCAGGCGGCAUGUUUAUCGCGUGAGCUUAGGCACCCAGGUCCCUAAGCGGGACCCAGUCACCGAGCCGGCAUCGUUUACGGCGUGGACUAC
rnacentral:misc_RNA from 1 species